UACUAGAGUAGCACUCGCAUAUCAAUAAGCGGAGGAAAAGAAACUAACAAGGAUUCCCUAGUAACGGCGAGUGAAGCGGGAAGAGCUCAAAUUUGAAAUCUUAAAGGGUUUCCCUUUACGAAUUGUAGUUUAAAGAAGUGUUUUCUGUUGAGGUUUUGGUAAAAGUUCUUUGGAAUAGGACAUCAUAGAGGGUGAGAAUCCCGUAUUUGACCUUUACUUUCAACUUUGUGAUACACUUUCAAAGAGUCGGAUUGUUUGGGAAUGCAGUCCAAAAUGGGUGGUAAAUUUCAUCUAAAGCUAAAUAUUGGCGAGAGACCGAUAGCGAACAAGUACCGUGAGGGAAAGAUGAAAAGAACUUUGAAAAGAGAGUUAAACAGUACGUGAAAUUGUCAAGAGGGAAGCGUUUGACACCAGUGUUGUUUUUCUGAAAAUCAAUUAAAGAACUGUUUAUGCUAAGUUGUUUAGACUUUAUCAGCUAUCUGUUUAGUUUUGAGCUUUUCUUUAAUGCACUUUUCAGUUAACAAGUCAACAUCAAUUUCUUUUGCUGUAAAAAAGCUUGAGGAAGGUGGCUUGAGAUUCGUCUUAAGUGUUUAUAGCCUCUUGCCUAUGCAGUCGGAGAGAUUGAGGUCUGCAGCGUAGAAUCCUUCGGGGCUAAAUGCAUUUGUGCUAGGUUAUAGCAUUUUAUAGACAACUUGUUGACUAUGAUUUGUCUUGUAGCUUACUCGCUUAUGUUAUUUUACCUACGCUUAGGAUGUUGAGCGCAUGUCUCUCUCU
rnacentral:rRNA from 1 species